rnacentral:rRNA from 1 species
UACAGAGGUCUCGAGCGUUGUUCGGAUUCAUUGGGCGUAAAGGGUGCGUAGGUGGCGUGGUAAGUCGGGUGUGAAAUCCCGGGGCUCAACCCCGGGACUGCAUUCGAUACUGCUGUGCUUGAGGACUGGAGAGGAGACUGGAAUUUACGGUGUAGCAGUGAAAUGCGUAGAGAUCGUAAGGAAGACCAGUGGCGAAGGCGAGUCUCUGGACAGUUACCGACGCUGAGGCACGAAGGCCAGGGGAGCAAACGGG